AUUGAACGCUGGCGGCAGGCCUAACACAUGCAAGUCGAACGAGUGGCGGACGGGUGAGUAGUGUCUGGGCAACUGCCUGAUGGAGGGGGAUAACUACUGGAAACGGUAGCUAAUACCGCAUACCAUCAGAUGUGCCCAGAUUGGAUGAGCUAGUUGGUGGGGUAACGGCUCACCAAGGCGACGAUCCCUAGCUGGUCUGAGAGGAUGACCAGCCACACUGGAACUGAGACACGGUCCAGACUCCUACGGGAGGCAGCAGUGGGGAAUAUUGGACAAUGGGCGCAAGCCUGAUGCAGCCAUGCCGCGUGUAUGAAGAAGGCCUUCGGUUUGUAAAGCACUUUCAUCGGGGAGGCGUUACCCGCAGAAGAAGCACCGGCUAACUCCGUGCCAGCAGCCGCGGUAAUUC
rnacentral:rRNA from 1 species